rnacentral:rRNA from 1 species
UACGUAGGGUGCAAGCGUUAAUCGGAAUUACUGGGCGUAAAGCGUGCGCAGGCGGUUCUAUAAGACAGAUGUGAAAUCCCCGGGCUCAACCUGGGAACUGCAUUUGUGACUGUAGAGCUGGAGUGCGGCAGAGGGGGAUGGAAUUCCGCGUGUAGCAGUGAAAUGCGUAGAUAUGCGGAGGAACACCGAUGGCGAAGGCAAUCCCCUGGGCCUGCACUGACGCUCAUGCACGAAAGCGUGGGGAGCAAACAGGA